rnacentral:tRNA from 1 species
AGCUCAGUUGGUGGAGCAUGGGACUCUUGAUCUCAGGGUUAUGGGUUCAAACCCCACU